rnacentral:rRNA from 1 species
UACGUAGGGUGCGAGCGUUGUCCGGAAUUAUUGGGCGUAAAGAGCUCGUAGGCGGUGUGUCACGUCGGCCGUGAAAACCUGCAGCUUAACUGUGGGCGUGCGGUCGAUACGGGCAUCACUGGAGUUCGGCAGGGGAGACUGGAAUUCCUGGUGUAGCGGUGAAAUGCGCAGAUAUCAGGAGGAACACCGGUGGCGAAGGCGGUUCUCUGGGCCUGUACUGACGCUGAGGAGCGAAAGCGUGGGGAGCGAACAGG